AAACCAACAGGGAUUGCCUCAGUAACGGCGAGUGAAGCGGCAAAAGCUCAAAUUUGAAAUCUAGCACCUUCGGUGUUCGAGUUGUAAUUUGAAGAUGGUAACCUUGGGUUUGGCUCUUGUCUAUGUUCCUUGGAACAGGACGUCAUAGAGGGUGAGAAUCCCGUCUGAUGAGAUGCCCAUUCCUAUGUAAGGUGCUAUCGAAGAGUCGAGUUGUUUGGGAAUGCAGCUCUAAGUGGGUGGUAAAUUCCAUCUAAAGCUAAAUAUUGGCGAGAGACCGAUAGCGAACAAGUACAGUGAUGGAAAGAUGAAAAGAACUUUGAAAAGAGAGUGAAAAAGUACGUGAAAUUGUUGAAAGGGAAGGGCAUUAGAUCAGACUUGGUGUUUUACGAUUAUCUUCUCUUCUUGAGUUGUGCACUCGUAUUUCACUGGGCCAGCAUCGAUUCGGAUGGCAAGAUAAUAGCAGUUGAAUGUGGCUUCACUUCGGUGGAGUGUUAUAGCUUCUGUUGAUAUUGCCUGUCUGGAUCGAGGGCUGCGUCUUUUGACUAGGAUGCUGGCGUAAUGAUCUAAUGCCGC
rnacentral:rRNA from 1 species